rnacentral:rRNA from 1 species
UAAUGUCUGGGAAACUGCCUGAUGGAGGGGGAUAACUGCUGGAAACGGUAGCUAAUACCGCAUAACGUCGCAAGACCAAAGAGGGGGACCUUCGGGCCUCAUGCCAUCAGAUGUGCCCAGAUGGGAUUAGCUAGUAGGUGGGGUAACGGCUCACCUAGGCGACGAUCCCUAGCUGGUCUGAGAGGAUGACCAGCCACACUGGAACUGAGACACGGUCCAG